CAAGCCCACUCAGCGAGGGGUCACGUGCUCGCCCCUCCCCCACACUCAUCUGCUGCUCCUCUGCAGGUUGCUAGGCUGGGGGGGCCGCUCCCAGAAUAUUCCGUGACAGAUGGUGGGAUUACACAGGAAACACACGGAGGGAGAAGGCGAGGCGGCCGCCACAGGCGGCAGCUUUCCUGGGGGGCAGGGGAAGGCGGCUCCCUGCCGGGGUAGGCAGCGCCCACGCGCAGGUCCCCCUUGCUGACUCUCCUGGCUGCUGCUUUGGUAGGGAGGGGACCUGUGAACCAGUGUUUUAUCCCACGCUCACGGUGGGGCUGGGCUGUCACUCUCCCCAGCGUGCGGACCUGACGCGAACAGCCCGACCCUGGGAGGGAGGCGUCGUUGGGCCAACUGGCAGCAGGGGCUCUGGCUCCGACCCGGCCCCCAGCGUCUCCUUUCUGCUCAGAGGCUGCAGGGAGCAGAUGGAGAGAGGCCGGAAGCACCGCCACCUCACGCACGGCCCCCGGCCCCCAGGCGGGGAGAGGAAGGGCCGCAUCCCUGCCCUGCUGUCCUUAGCAGCGCCUUCUGGAAGGAGGUUCGGCCCUUUCCUCAGCCGCCCCCACCCCAAGCAUUCCCCUGUUCCUGCUGUGUAACAGUUUCCUGAAGGGAAGAUCCUUAAAUAGAAAGUCUAGACAGAGACAAACUGCAAAGAAGACUCUCGAGACCAGACCAGCUGCCCGGAAGAAGCAGAGACCAGCUGAGUUGCCUAGAAGGGGUUUAAGCCAGCUGGGUCGCCUGGACAGGACACUCUUCAGCCUGCUGAGGUGCCUGUGGGCUGUGCAGUGUGCUCCAGGUUCCCAGCUUUCGUGAGCUGUCACCCAUGCUGGCCUUGGUGGCACAGCUGCCUGAUCAUUUCUGCUCUUGUAAGCAACGCCCCAACCCAUACUCCUCUUGGCAAGCUGACUGUUUCAGACUUUGGAGCAGAUGUCAUUGUCAUCCCCACGUUCCAGAUGAGGACGCCAAGCUUUGAGCAGUCGGGUCCUAUUAUCUCCUGUGUCAAGGAGCUCUUGGAACAACGAGGGUUGGAUCCCAGCUCAAAGCACACAACAUGAACAGGCACACGGAGAGAGCGUGGACAAUGUGAGGCGUGACCACAUACACUGGUGUCCCCCAUGUGUCUGACGUUGACCUGCCUUAGUGUUCCUGACUCGUGCCUCUGACUCCGCUUGUGCUCCGUUGGUUGAGGAGUCCUCAGACCUCUGCAGAGCCUGGACAGUGGUAGGUUCUUCAUGACUGUAAGUGAAAUGAGACGAUGCACGCUGUGCCAAACAUAUCCAGUGCCCAUAGGCCACCCCACGAACCAAGA